AUAUGUAAAACAUAUCUUUUGCUAAUUUUAAUAUAAAAAUUCUUAUUUAUUUUUAAAAUUAAAGAUUUUUAUUUGAUUUAAAAAUUAAAAAUGUUUUUCAAAACUAACUGAAAAAUUUAUAUGUAAAACAUAUCUAUUGCAAAUUUUAAUAUAAAAAUUCUUACUUAUUUUUAAAAUUAAAGAUUUUUAUUUGAUUUGAAAAUAACAAUUUUUUUCAAAACUAACUGAAAAAUUUAUAUAUUUUUUAAUUAAUUACCAAAUAUUAUUAGUAAUGAAUUAAUAAAUUUUAUUUUAGACUAGGAUUAGAUACCCUAUUAUUAAAAAAUUAAAAUUUUAAACUAAAAUAGUAAAUUAGUUUUUAAACUUAAAAAAAUUGGCGGUAUUUUAGUUUAUUUAGAGGAAUCUGUUUAUUAAUUGAUAUUCCACGAAUAAAUUUACUUAAUUUAAAGUUUAUAUAUCGUCGUUAAAAAAAUAUUUUAUAAAAAUAGAAAAUAUUUAAAAAUUUAAAUAAAAAAUUAAAUCAGAUCAAGAUGUAAUUUAUGUUUAAGAAUAUAAUGGAUUACAAUAAAAAUAUUUAUGAUGAAUUAUAAUUUGUAAUAAUUAUAUGAAAUUGGAUUUAAAUGUAAUUAUAUUUAAUUUAAUUUAAUGAUUUAAUAUUAAAAUAUGUACAUAUUGCCCGUCGCUCUCAUUUUGAAAUUGAGAUAAGUCGUAACAAAGUAGAGGUACUGGAAAGUGUUUCUAGAAAGAGU
rnacentral:ncRNA from 1 species